CUCUUUAUCGUUUGAGUGAUGGGGGGACGCAGGAGGAUAGGGUAAGCGCACUGUUGGAUAUGUGCGUGUAAGCAGUUAGGCUGGUAAGUAGGAAAAUCCGCUUACCGUUAAGGCUGAGCUGUGAUGCCGAGGGAAAUAUAGUACCGAAGUUCCUGAUUCCACACUGCCAAGAAAAGCCUCUAGCGAGAUAAAAGGUGCCCGUACCGCAAACCG
rfam:Bacillus niacini strain DSM 2923, whole genome shotgun sequence.